UCUGCUCCGUGAGAUGGAACCCAUCCCAUAAUACUGUUCAGCUGUCCAAGAACCUGAGUCCAGAUAGACAAAGAAGUGAGCGAAGAAGCAACUACCACUGCUCUGCUAAAGACACGAGGUUGCACUUGGCAGAGAUUUGAUUCAUCAGGGAAGACAGAACUCCGUGUUUGCACGCUUUAAGGCAGAGAUGAAGUCUACUUUGGCAAGCCCCACAAGG
rnacentral:lncRNA from 1 species